rnacentral:tRNA from 1 species
GGUGUUGUGUGGGGCUAAUCCAGUUUCCUUGAUGUGGAGAAGAUCGAAAUUUGUUUUCCAAUGCUU